AGACCAUGAUGUGGGUAGAGCCUCAUCAUAUCUUAUACCUCUCCCAAGCUUCAAAAAAAUACUCGUCAUCUUUCUGUCUAUAAAAAUUUAUUUGGCUCCUUAGCAU